rnacentral:rRNA from 1 species
GAUGAAUGCUGGCGGCGUGCUUAACACAUGCAAGUCGAACGGAAAGGCCCAAGCUUGCUUGGGUACUCGAGUGGCGAACGGGUGAGUAACACGUGGGUGAUCUGCCCUGCACUUCGGGAUAAGCCUGGGAAACUGGGUCUCAUACCGGAUAGGACCACGUCUUGGAUGUUGUGGUGGAAAGUUUUUUCGGUGUGGGAUGAGCUCGCGGCCUAUCAGCUUGUUGGUGGGGUAAUGGCCUACCAAGGCGUCGACGGGUAGCCGGCCUGAGAGGGUGUACGGCCACAUUGGGACUGUGCUACGGCCCAGACUCCUACGGGAGGCAGCAGUGGGGAAUAUUGCACAAUGGGCGCAAGCCUGAUGCAGCGACGCCGCGUGGGGGAUGACGGCUUUCGGGUUGUAAACUCCUUUCGCUAGGGACGAAGCGUUUUUGUGACGGUACCUGGAGAAGAAGCACCGGCUAACUACGUG